GAUGAAGAACGUAGCGAAAUGCGAUAAGUAGUGUGAAUUGCAGAAUUCAGUGAAUCAUCGAAUCUUUGAACGCACAUUGCGCCCCUUGGUAUUCCAUGGGGCAUGCCUGUUCGAGCGUCAUUUGUACCUUCAAGCUCUGCUUGGUGUUGGGUGUUUGUCUCGCCUCUGCGUGUAGACUCGCCUCAAAACAAUUGGCAGCCGGCGUAUUGAUUUCGGAGCGCAGUACAUCUCGCGCUUUGCACUCAUAACGACGACGUCCAAAAGUACAUUUUUACACUCUUGACCUCGGAACAGGUAGGGAUACCCGCUGAACUUAAGCAUAUCAAUAAGCGGAGGA
rnacentral:misc_RNA from 1 species